GUUAACCUGCAAGGUUAGCUCAAAACUCAGAAACCUCCAGUUAGAGAUCAGAUUGGCUGACACACAGAACAGAUAGCUUCACACCACAGUGAUAUUUAUAGUGCUGCUCUAAGCCCAGGGGAGUUCUUUUGAAGCAAAAAUCCAUUUAGGAAAUAAUUCUUUUUGAAGGACUUGUGAUGGGGAUGCUCCUUGAAGGUUUAUUAAUAAUCCUCUGGAUGCAGACACGGGUGAGUGGCCAACAGCUGAAUCAGAGUCCUCAGUCUCUGUCCAUCUCGGAAGGAGAGAGCAUCUCCAUGAGCUGCAUUUCUCCCAGCACAUUAAACACCUUGCUAUGGUACAAGCAGGAUGCUGGGAAAGGCCCUGUCCUCUUGGUAACCUUAUAUAAAAGUGGUGAUUUUUUCAGAAAUGAGAAACUGGCUGCUCAGUUUGGUGAAACGAGAAAGGACAGCUUUCUGAACAUGUCAGCCCCUGAACUUGCCGAUGCGGGCACCUACUUCUGUGCUGGGCAGCACAGUGCUCCCCUCACACCUGCAGCCCGCACUCAAACCUGCAACGGGACCCCAGUCUCUGUACUUCCUCUAGCUCCUGCUCCUCUUGGCAUGAAAUGUGGUUAUGCAUACAGCCCAUGAAUUCUUAAUGCUUUAUCUUCCAAACAAAAAUAUGAGAACAUGAUCA